ACUCACUAAAUCUCCCAGAAGGCACUGCAGUGAUACCUGACCCCUCAAAGGAGCGGCUAUAAAAAGAACAAUAGGCAAAAUUGACCCGAGGACUUUGGCACGAUAUCCGUGAACAAUAGAACGAGUUUGCAGAAGACAAAUUGACGAGUGAAGAAGAAACUCCACAAGAGACUGCAAAUGGCGCUGCACCUUCAGCUAUGCAGCAGCAAGAUGUCCCCACACACAUGGACAAAGGCUGGGCAUGGGUUGUCUUUUUGUAUCAUGCUCCUAGCAGCAAGACUACAUAACUGCGCUGGAAUCAUAUUCGUGGAAUUACUUGAGAUGUACAACGAAGGCAGGUGAAAAACAGAUAGGCUCUGAUUUACGAGACGACAGGAGACAGCCGGCAAUGUUAUACUUUAUCUCCAACCGAGAAUUUCCAAACAGGAAACUGUGGGCAGGACCGCUUGCAAGAGAUAUCAAUAAGACAAUUUAAAGAUGCCAUUUUUUUUCUAAAAAGAAGACGCGAUAGUUCGAAAGGCGUCUUAGAAAAGUCAAUUAUUCAUACGUAACCUUUACAAAUCGUCUAAAUCGGGCCGUAAGCAAGAAAGAAAGCAUUUUUGCAGUCUAAGUCUAAUGUUAUAUACAUACCAUUGGGGCUAUAGCUAGGUUGAUCCGCACAAAACACUGCUGCUAGCUGGAACAGGUCGCUUUGACGUAUUUUUGGAUGGCAACAGUCGGAUUUUUAUGGGGGAGGGGGGCUGGGAAAUAGGCUCGUAAGACCGCUAAUCUCAUAUAACUGUGACAGUCGCAGCACAGUAUGCUGAUUUUUGUAGCUGGCUAUGGGAUCUAGCAUACCAUAUGACACAGGCUAUUUU